rnacentral:lncRNA from 1 species
CACAAUAAUUUAAACAGCUUUCUUAUUUCUUAACUUCUCUGGGUAUUUUGUGUGCUACUGUAUCUUGUGAAUGAAUCUCAAGAAGAAGGAUGAAGCUUUUCCAAAAUCACAUCCCUUCAUCUCAUUUUACAGAAAAAUUUGUGCCUAAUAUUAACCAAAGGAAAUGGGGAGCGGCAGGGCCAGUGGGUUUUCAUGGUGAACUCAAGGUUGCAUCUUGGCCAGGUUGCAUGUGGAAGGGACAGCAGGGUUCCCAAGGAAGCUUUGCGUGGUCAUGGGUAGAGCCAUCCCUUCUUCAUCCAUAGUGAAUGUGGCUGGAAAUAGCGGGUAGUCUUGGAUUUGACCUCCCUCCCAUGGAAGUGCUGUCUCCAGCUCGCUCCUGGAAAAACUGCUUUCUCCCCAAAGUGUGUCUGAGCAGCAGAUUUAAGCAUGAAGUUGGUUUUGUGGGGCUACAGUAUGGACUUUGGGAAGAUGGUGCCAUCUGUAUUUCUGAUUCUACCGUCCCUCUGUCUGUCUUUGGAAGUAUCCUUUCACUUGUUUGGGAGACUGAGAAUGAUUUUCUGCAAACAGUGAGCCAGACCAUGCUGGUCUCAAGCAGCAGAGCAGUUAUUAACAGAAUCACAGUCUUUCUGGAGCUGCUGUCAGUCCUGUGCUGUCCUCAGGGCCUUUGCUUGGUCAGGGGCCCCCCACUUCUUAUCUACCCUUCCCUCUACCUCACCGAGGUGGCUAGGCCCAGGUGUAUUGUGAUUAUUUGAUGUACCCGGGAGGCCAUGUCUCCCGGGGAGGCCCAGGACCUCAUUGGGCUGGAAUUCCACGGGGAUCUCUCAUUGGGUCUCUUUGGGCCUUUGGAGAGGGGAGUGCAGGGCACCACCUGGGCAAACACCUGUGCCAUCCUGUAAGUCCUUGUGUGACUCUUCAUCCAAGUCAAAAGGGGCAUGUAAGGGAAGAGCCUCAGGGCCCAUCAGGAGUCAGACCCUGACCAGGAAGUCAGAACUGAAUCAACUUUUCAAUAAACACACAGGCUGGCCCCAAACAAAGCAGCAGGCUUUUGGGAACAUCUGCCUUUUCAGUCUCUUCUGAAUUCUGUUUAUGUGGACACCCCAUGUCCCGCACCACCAUUGCCGCCAGUAAUGUUUGUUGCUUGUCAAUAUUUGAAUAGAUGCUGAUAAAUUUGAUUCUCUGGCUUAUUGUGGCAUUCAUGAUAUGUCUUUCCCUUUUCAGUUUCCAUGUACUAGAGCGACUGUCAGUGUGGCUGGCAGUGACCUGUGUUUUUCAUGCAUGUUUUUGUUUCAGAAUAACUGGGAGAUGAAACAGGAAGCUCUAUGACACACUUGAUCGAAUAUGACAGACACCGAAAAUCACGACUCAGCCCCCUCCAGCACCUCUACCUGUUGCCCGCCGAUCACAGCCAGAAUGCAGCUGAAAGAUUCCCUGGGGCCUGGUUCCAACCGCCCGCUGUGGACUCUGAGGCCUCUGCAUUUGCGGGUGGUCUGCCUGUGAUAUUUUGGUCAUGGUCUGGUCAGGUCGGUUUCCCAUUUGUCUGGCCAGUCUCUAUGUGUCUUAAUCCCUUGUCCUUCAUUAAAAGCAAAACU